rnacentral:lncRNA from 1 species
AAAUUAGAAAACCUCUUGAAUUCACACUCGAUGUGUUCUGCUCUGAUCUUUGUGCUUAAUGUUUCACUAUCUUUUUGAUGUUGUCAAAAAGGGGGAGAAAUAUCUAAGUAUAUGCUAUAUACUCAUAAUGCUUUAUUACUUUGAAUUGAAUACAAAUCAGCUUAAAGUUUAAAUAUGUUGAUUGUGUUAAGCUGAUUAAAUCUAAAGCAUUAUCAUGAAGUAUGUUUUUAAAUAUAUAUGUUUUCUACUUCAUGCAACUUAGCUAUGUAUUA